rnacentral:misc_RNA from 1 species
AACAAAUCUCACGCCUGGCGUGGUAUUGGGCCUUGGACCUAGCGUCGGGCUCCAAAUGCGUCGGCUAUAAAUUAGUAAAUGGGGAGUGCUGUAGCAUGGUGCCGCAAAUAUCGACAAAUAUAUGCGGCGCGGAGUUUGUAGGCCCCUGCCCUGCGCGUUCGCAUCGGUAACUCGAACCGAACACAA